GACGAACGCUGGCGGCGUGCCUAAUACAUGCAAGUAGAACGCUGAAGCUUGGUGCUUGCACCGAGCGGAUGAGUUGCGAACGGGUGAGUAACGCGUAGGUAACCUGCCUGGUAGCGGGGGAUAACUAUUGGAAACGAUAGCUAAUACCGCAUAAGAGUAGUUGUUGCUUGACAUUUGUUUAAAAGGUGCAAUUGCAUCACUACCAGAUGGACCUGCGUUGUAUUAGCUAGUUGGUGAGGUAACGGCUCACCAAGGCAACGAUACAUAGCCGACCUGAGAGGGUGAUCGGCCACACUGGGACUGAGACACGGCCCAGACUCCUACGGGAGGCAGCAGUAGGGAAUCUUCGGCAAUGGACGGAAGUCUGACCGAGCAACGCCGCGUGAGUGAAGAAGGUUUUCGGAUCGUAAAGCUCUGUUGUAAGAGAAGAACGAGUGUGAGAGUGGAAAGUUCACACUGUGACGGUAGCUUACCAGAAAGGGACGGCUAACUACGUG
rnacentral:rRNA from 1 species